CCUCUAUAGUGUCUUUCUUUGCAAUUAAUGCAGCAUCCAUUUUUUUUCCCAUCAUCCUUUGGCUAUUGCUACAAUAGAUGAUCACACUCUCAAACAUUCAAGACACAAAAGAGAACUCAGUCUGAUACUGUCUGUGAAUCUGUCUGUGACACACACACGACUCACGACCACAGAAAGCCGCUUCAGACAGCGCUUGAACAGACAAAAACACACAAAAUUGUGCCAAAAUGCCAGUUUUGUCGAGUAUCCUCUCAAGCACAGUCUAAAUGAGUUAAAUGAAGUCUUAAAUGAAAGUAAAGAGAUGUGAGAAAAUGUUUCAUAUCUGUGUCAUGUGAUUCAGAUCUUCCAUAUCAAGCCUAAUAAACCUGCUGCUGUCGGUCAUUAAUGAUAAUCAAAGAACAAAAGAACAAGAGAAAAUCACUCACUGCUCUUGACUGAAAAACUUUUGUAACUUUAAUAAGGAUGAAUUUAUUUUACAUUUAUAUAAUUAAUGCAGUGAAGACUGAAUUGUUUUAUAACUUGAUUCAAUUUCUGUAUAUUUCCUACAUGUUAGACCCUAAAAAUCUUACAGCACGGGUCAAAUAUGAGAACAAUAACCUUUUGUGCAUUUUGACAGGACUAGUAAAAAUCAGAACCGGUCUGACUGCAGCAAUAAAAACAAAUUGAGCCCUGAUAUAUUGAAGGAUAUAAAUACAUGUGAAGAUUGUUUUUAAUUUCACUUAAAUUAAUAGCUGUUAUAUUUUUUAAAUAUUUAAAUUGAUAUCUUUCAAUUAUACUGUAAUGCUGAAUGACUAUAAUCAUGGGUAAAAUUGAGAAAAAAAUCUGGAAGACAUCAGUAGCAGUAUUGGUAUCAGUGAUACUGACCUUCUUUCAUAAAAAGAUGACAUUAAACAACUGUUUAAAAUAUAGACAUCUGUCUUUAUGUUGUUUUUUACAUUAAUUUGAUUAAAUGUGAAAAUAUAUAAUAAUGUUAGGUGUGAUUAAUUGCGAUUAAUUAGGCUUACAGAUAAAUGUGAUUAAUUAGUUAAUUUUAUAAUCGGUUGACAGCAGAUGGUUAUUUGUUUGAAGUCCUGCUUAUUAAAAGUUACGUUCAUCUUCAUUACAGUAGUGAAUAUCAGAUCAGCUGACAGACGAGACAUCAGUAUUUAUAUUACAAUUAUCACAAUGAUUCUUCUGAAAUAUGAAUACAGAUUUAUGCUUUGUAAGGCAUGCGCAUACAACUGAAUUCAUCAUGUACAGUUAUUCACUGCGGUUAUGUAAUUAGUUUUUAUUUGUACAGUAACUGUAAAUGAUUCAACAGUGUUUCAUGUAUUUCAAAGUAGUAAAGAAAACAGUUAAACCUUGCACAUGCAUGUUGAGUUGAUAAUAAAAAUUAAGUUGAAAGAAUGUUUCAGGAUCAUACUAACCUUUAGAUGUCAUCUAUUAACAUUAAGAAAACCGGACAUUUUAACGUUUCCAUAACCAAAACAUAAUGUUUGGAAAACUUUUUAGCUGUCGUAUUUCAGUAGUUCUGGCAGACAAAUUGUGUGCAAAAGCCAUUACUCAAAAUGUCUGAUUUUUAAUAAUAGAUACAAAAAACAAAAAACAAACAAAUGACUGAUUACCAGCCAGUACCACGGUAUUUCUGACAUGUUGCCAAGCAGCAGAUUUGCAUCUCAAUUCACAGUAAAUGAUCUUCAUCACUGCAUGUGCUGCUGUACACAAAGGAAGAUAUUUUGAAAAAUGUCAGUAACCAAACAGACCUCGCUCCCCAUUGACUGCCAUCACAUCCUUCCUUCCUUUGGAUGAUCUUGUGUUCAGCAGAACAAAGAAAUUCAUACCCUUGAUGAAAACCCUUAAUGAAAUAUCUCUUUAAACUGGACAAUGACACCAUUUUCUUCUAAAGCUGCCAAAAUUAUGUUCCCUCUAUCAGUGUAAAGCUGCUUUGACACAAUCUGCAUUGUAAAAAGUGUUAUAUUAUUAAAGGUGACUUGAUUUGACUUGAUAAAAUAAAACACUCUUUGUAAUCAUAA